UCGGGAAUUUUGGGCAGUGGGCGAAAGCCUGACCCAGCAACGCCGCGUGAGGGAUGAAGUAUUUCGGUAUGUAAACCUCGAAAGAAUGGGAAGAAUAAAUGACGGUACCAUUUAUAAGCUCCGGCUAACUACGUGCCAGCAGCCGCGGUAAUACGUAGGGAGCAAGCGUUGUUCGGAUUUACUGGGCGUAAAGGGCGCGUAGGCGGCGCGGUAAGUCACUUGUGAAAUCUCUGAGCUUAACUCAGAACGGCCAAGUGAUAUUGCUGUGCUAGAGUGCGGAAGAGGCAACCGGAAUUCUUGGUGUAGCGGUGAAACGCGUAGAUAUCAAGAGGAACACCUGAGGCGAAGGCGGGUUGCUGGGCCGACACUGACGCUGAUGCGCGAAAGCCAGGGGAGCAAACG
rnacentral:rRNA from 1 species